rnacentral:rRNA from 1 species
GACGAACGCUGGCGGCGUGCCUAAUACAUGCAAGUCGAACGAACCGCGACUAAGUGCUUGCACUAAGUCAAGGUGAGUGGCGAACGGGUGAGUAACACGUGGGUAACCUACCUCAUAGUGGGGGAUAACAGUCGGAAACGACUGCUAAUACCGCAUAGGACAUGGGAUCACAUGAUUCAGUGAGGAAAGGUGGCGCAAGCUAUCGCUAAGAGAUGGACCCGCGGUGCAUUAGCUAGUUGGUAGGGUAAAGGCCUACCAAGGCGAUGAUGCAUAGCCGACCUGAGAGGGUGAUCGGCCACAUUGGGACUGAGACACGGCCCAAACUCCUACGGGAGGCAGCAGUAGGGAAUCUUCCGCAAUGGACGCAAGUCUGACGGAGCAACGCCGCGUGAGUGAAGAAGGUCUUCGGAUCGUAAAGCUCUGUUGUUAGAGAAGAACAGCGCAUAGAGUAACU